rnacentral:rRNA from 1 species
CUUUUCUGGUGGCGACCGGCGCACGGGUGCGGAACGCGUAUGGAACCUGCCCCUGUCAGGGGAAUAGCCCAGGGAAACUUGGAUUAAUGCCCCAUGGUACCGCGAUAUCGCAUGAUAUUGCGGUUAAAGAUUUAUCGGACAGGGAUGGCCAUGCGUACCAUUAGUUAGUUGGUGGGGUAACGGCCCACCAAGGCAGCGAUGGUUAGGGGCCCUGAGAGGGGGAUCCCCCACACUGGUACUGAGACACGGACCAGACUCCUACGGGAGGCAGCAGUGAGGAAUAUUGGACAAUGGGCGGGAGCCUGAUCCAGCCAUGCCGCGUGCAGGAUGACGGCCCUAUGGGUUGUAAACUGCUUUUAUACGGGAAGAAAUGCGCCCACGUGUGGGCGUCUGACGGUACCGUAAGAAUAAGGACCGGCUAACUCCGUGCCAGCAGCCGCGGUAAUACGGAGGGUCCGAGCGUUAUCCGGAAUCAUUGGGUUUAAAGGGUCCGUAGGCGGGCCUGUAAGUCAGGGGUGAAAGUUUGUGGCUCAACCAUAAAAUUGCCUUUGAUACUGCAGGUCUUGAGUCAUGGUGGGGUCGCCGGAACAUGUGGUGUA